UCAGACGGUAGCUUUUUCAUUUUGUUUCGAGAUGGUCACGAUUGAAUCAUACCACACCGCAAAAUGGACACAUCAUUAGAUGGUCUUUGAUAUUCAGAACAGCAGUGAAACAAUGUGAGAACAAAAACAGAGCCACGAAUUUAUCUCUGUUGGGGUGAAGCUGUUCACCACAGAUGGCAUCAUGAUGGUCAAACCACAAGCGAACCAGCGAGUUAACAGUGGAACAAAAAUGUGGGGUUUGUAUGUUACCUCAUACCCUCGCAGCACAACCAUCCAAUUCCAACUGCAGGGGCUGCUAUAAUCAUGCUUACGUAACAAGUCCUACAUUCUGUACACUAUGUUUGGCCUCUCCAAAAUCCAUUUGGGGGUCCUAAGGAAAUCUGUUUCUUAUCGGCGCUGACCGAUAUGUUGAACGAAAAGCCAAAUAAUAAGUACGGGUUCUGGAAAACAGACAUUAAAUUGAUGACUCAAAAAGCACGUUAUUGAUAACUGUAUAGAC